UGGCAUCACAGACCUGUUAUUGCCUCCAACUUCCAUCAGCUUGAGCUGAUAGUCUCUCUAAGAAGCCGGCGACCAGCCAAAGCUAGCCUGGCUAUUUAGCAGAGGAAGGUCUCGCUCGUUAUCGCAAUUAAGCAGACAAGUCACCCCACGAACUAAGAACGGCCAUGCACCACCACCUGAAAAAUCAAGAAAGAGCUCUCAAUCUGUCAAUCCUUAUUUCAUCUGGACCUGGUGAGUUUCCCCGUGUUGAGUCAAAUUAAGCCGCAGGCUCCACGCCUGGUGGUGACCUUCCGUCAAUUCCUUUAAGUUAACCUGCGGAGGGAUCAUUACACAACAAAAAUAUGAGGGUGUGGUUUGCUGGCACAGCGUCCGCCCCAAGUAUUUUUCACCCAUGUCUUUUGCGCACUUUUUGUUUCCUGGGCGAGUUCGCUCGCCACCAGGACCCAACCAUAAACCUUUUUUUAUGCAGUUGCAAUCAGCGUCAGUAUAAUAAUUCAAUUUAUUAAAACUUUCAACAACGGAUCUCUUGGUUCUGGCAUCGAUGAAGAACGCAGCGAAAUGCGAUACGUAGUGUGAAUUGCAGAAUUCAGUGAAUCAUCGAAUCUUUGAACGCACAUUGCGCCCUUUGGUAUUCCAAAGGGCAUGCCUGUUCGAGCGUCAUUUGUACCCUCAAGCUUUGCUUGGUGUUGGGCGUCUUUUUGUCUCUCCCCUUGCUGGGGGAGACUCGCCUUAAAACGAUUGGCAGCCGACCUACUGGUUUUCGGAGCGCAGCACAAAUUUGCGCCUUCCAAUCCACGGGGCGGCAUCCAGCAAGCCUUUGUUUUCUAUAACAAAUCCACAUUUGACCUCGGAUCAGUAGGGAUACCCGCUGAACUUAAGCAUAUCAAUAAGCGGAGGAA
rnacentral:rRNA from 1 species